rnacentral:rRNA from 1 species
CCUACGGGGGGCAGCAGUGGGGGAUAUUGCACAAUGGGGGGAACCCUGAUGCAGCGACGCCGCGUGGGCGAUGGAGUGCUUCGGCAUGUAAAGCCCUAUCAGCAGGGAAGAAAAUGACGGUACCUGACUAAGAAGCCCCGGCUAAAUACGUGCCAGCAGCCGCGGUAAUACGUAUGGGGCAAGCGUUAUCCGGAUUCAUUGGGUUUAAAGGGUGCGCAGGCGGGCCUUUAAGCCGGCGGUGAAAUCGCGGGGCUCAACCCCGCCGAGCC